UACGUAGGUGGCGAACGUUAUCCGGAAUUACUGGGAGUAAAGCGUCCGCAGGUGGCACUUCAAGUCUGUCGUCAAAGACUGGGGCUUAACCCUGGAAAGGCGGUGGAAACUGAAGCGCUAGAGUGCGGUAGGGGUAGAGGGAAUUCCCGGUGUAGCGGUGAAAUGCGUAGAGAUCGGGAAGAACAUCGGUGGCGAAAGCGCUCUACUGGACCGCAACUGACACUCAGGGACGAAAGCUAGGGGAGCGAAUGGG
rnacentral:rRNA from 1 species